GACGAACGCUGGCGGCGUGCUUAACACAUGCAAGUCGAGCGGUAAGGCCCUUUCGGGGGUACACGAGCGGCGAACGGGUGAGUAACACGUGGGUGACCUGCCCUCAGCUCUGGGAUAAGCCUGGGAAACCGGGGUCUAAUACCGGAUAUGACUCCAUGACGCAUGUUGUGGGGUGGAAAGCCUUGUGCGGCUGAGGAUGGGCCCGCGGCCUAUCAGCUUGUUGGUGGGGUGAUGGCCUACCAAGGCGACGACGGGUAGCCGGCCUGAGAGGGCGACCGGCCACACUGGGACUGAGACACGGCCCAGCCUCCUACGGGAGGCAGCAGUGGGGAAUCUUGCGCAAUGGGCGAAAGCCUGACGCAGCGACGCCGCGUGAGGGAUGACGGCCU
rnacentral:rRNA from 1 species